CAUAAUCUUUUUUUUAAUAAAUACAAAAUUUUAUUUAUUUAUUUGUUUUUGGUUGUGCUGGGUCUCCGUUGUUGCGUGCAGGCUUUCUCUGGUUGCAGAGAGCCGAGAGUACUCUCUAGUUGCGGUGAGCAGGUUUCUCUUUGCCGUGGCUUCUCUUCUUGAGGAGUACAGUCUCUAGCACGCGGGGGCUUCAGUAAGUUGCGGCACGUGGCCUUAGUUGUUCCGAGGCACAUGGAAUCUUCCGGGACUAGGGAUCAAAUCUGUGUCUCCUGCACUGACAGGCAGAUUCUUAUCCACUCCACCACCAGGAAAGAUCCCCCCUUCCCCACAGUCUUCCGACUUCCUCCUCUACCUUCUUUUGCCCCCAGCUGCCUGGCCUUUUGUGCUGAUUCUGGUUGCUUACAAAGUUAGUUUGCAUUCUCUCUCUUUUCUGUCUUUCUUUGGGGCUGUUUCAAAGCUCCCCCCACAGCCAAAGGUGUGCUGCUGGUGUCUUUGUUGCAGCCUCUGCAGGUCCAAGUCCACCUCCUCUCCCACCCCCACAAUCUGCUGCUCUUUUUGUUCCUUAUUUCCAGUCCUGAGUGUGCUUCUUCCCCACCAUGCCUCUGCGGCCUCGCCUCUCUUUUAAGCCCAGGUUGGAAUCUUUUCAUCAUGCUGCCUCAGCCUGAAAAGACGCCUAUUUUUUUUUUUUUUUUCUGCUCCUAAACUUAGAUUUAUGGCCCUUGUCAGGCCUUCCUGCCGUGGCCUCUGACAGCCCCUGCCUUUCCUAACAUCAGAUUCAUUGCUGUUCCUAAGGUCCUUUAAGAUUUUAAUGCUAAGUCUAUAAAUUUCGUUUCCUUUCUGCUUUAACCUUUCUUUAGACCUUCCCAUUGUCUGAUGGGAUGUCCCGCAGGCGUUGAUUUGCAGCUCUGUUCCCGCGCUCUAGGGAGGAUAUGCCCUGCAAGGCUACUGCUGAAAGCAGGAGAGACGUAUGAGGCUGACCUGGAUCCCACCAGGAGUCCAGAACCAAGCCCUGCUGAGCUCAUGCUAGAUCAGCUUGCCCCCAGACCACCAACAGGUGCUGUGCAACGUCUCUCAAGAAGGUUUGCCUUGGAAGCUGUGACACAAGGCAAGGCGUGUGGUUGACUCACCUGGUACCUGAUGAAAUCCUAAUAGCUGCUUUACUGUACACAUGUCCUGAUGAUUUGUUUGUUUCCGGUUUCUUUGUUUAAUAAUUAUGGUUUGAGGCUAAAGAUGUGGGAAUGGGAAAGGAAGAUUUUGAUUUUGUGUGAGCAUGUGUGUAUGUGGUAAUACUAAACUAAGAAAUAAAUCCAGUUCAACUACAUAUCAGAUUUCAUCAAUCGCUGGC
rnacentral:lncRNA from 1 species